GACAGAGGAGCCAAGCGUUGUCCGGAUUGACUGGGCGUAAAGCGCACGUAGGCGGCUUCUCAAGUCAGGGGUGAAAUCCUGGAGCUCAACUCCAGAACUGCCUUUGAUACUGAGGGGCUCGAGUCCGGGAGAGGUGAGUGGAACUGCGAGUGUAGAGGUGAAAUUCGUAGAUAUUCGCAAGAACACCAGUGGCGAAGGCGGCUCACUGGCCCGGUACUGACGCUGAGGUGCGAAAGCGUGGGGAGCAACAGGG
rnacentral:rRNA from 1 species